GAAAGAUCAAUCAUUAGCUAUACUUUGGCGGUGAUAUUUUGAAUGCUAAUCAUGGCUAUCAACACCAAUGUCACAUGAUUUACAUAGUUAAUGUCGAUGUAUGAUCGACUAAUAGCUAUUUAUGAUACCAUUGAUGUCGAUCUCAAACACGAUCAAUCACGACCGUUGACGUCAUUUUGUAUGUGCCGUCCAUGUCAAUCACUCACCUUUACAUUGAAAUCUGACCACGGGCGCUCAUCUCUUCGGGCACGAUCUUUGAUGCGUCCAUGAUCGAUCGAUUCGGAGAUGAUCACGAUUGAUGUAGAGCGAUCUUCUCCGUCCGUAGUCGGACCGUGGGGAGGAGGAUGGUACGGAUCGUCCGUGAGGUCGAUCAUGAUCGCCAGCGCGAAUUUUAAUGCGAUCAUCGUCGAAGCAGGAAUGGCACCUUUAGGUUGAAAUCUGACGACGGACGUUGAUCUCUUCUCGCACGGUUUUUGAUGCGUCCAUCAUGGCUUGAGGGGUUGAUCUUGAUCGUCCAUGAUUUGGAAGAGCGAUCUCUUUUUCGCAUGCGUCGUCGAAGAGGAGGGGGGAACAGAUCGUCCGUCAGGCCGAUCAUGAUCAGCAGCACGAUUUUGAAUGCGAUCUUCGUAUCGUACCAUCUCCGUACAUAACUAUGAAUUGUUUUUUUUUGUGAUGUUAAGACAUGUCGAGCGUUGGGAUGGGGAUGGGGAUGAGACAUACACUAAAAACAAAAGCUAUGAUGUGGUUGCGACAACAGCUGUCCCCAGCUGUCCCCGUCGUUGAAAGCUCUGGCUCGAGUCUGCACACCUCAUAGGAAGGACGACGGAAGAGAGAUCCCCGACUGCCGUCGUCAGCACCCCCGGUCGCGGCCACCGGCUACAGCCGGUCCGUUCCGACCCACCCGCAUCUUUCCUCUUCGUGUCCGGCGGCCGGCCCCACCCGCCCGGCCCACCUCGCCCGCUGCACGUGCCGCGCGGUGGG
rnacentral:lncRNA from 1 species